rnacentral:lncRNA from 1 species
GAUGGAACAGGUUCAUUGUGGGUGAAACACUUUGUGUCAACAAUGUAUGCUCAAGCCCGUAAAGUGACCAAUAUACUGGUUUUUAUGUCACCUAUUUUGUAGCAGACAUUGUGUUAAGAGCUCUGGAUAUAGAGGAAAGCAGAUAGUGUUGGAUAUUCCACUCCAGUUGUAAUAAAAGCAAUAACUGUAAUAUUCAUGAAGGUCAAUAUCUGAAUGUUACACUCCACUUGUGACAAAAUAAUAUAGCAAUCAUGAAUUUCAGUCUUCAUGUGGAGAAGCAAUAUAUGAAUGAUACUACUUAAUUAAUAGAAUGCAACCAUUUAUUUCAGUCUUUGCCAGGCUGUCUCUCUGUUGACAGGAUAUAUUUAUUCACAUACAUAGGUUUAUAUGUUUAUACCCUCAUGCACACACUCUCAGUUAUGGGCACUAUUAACUGACUGACUCCUGCUCUCAUUUUUUUUAGUUGCCACCACCAUUAAUCCCAGGGAAGCUGGUCAGAAAGAUGAUAGUGGUGUCAAUAAUACUGAUCCUAAAGCUUGUUUGAAAGAUGUGUUUCAGCUGCAGCUCACAAGGACCUCUGACUACUAUACCUACCUCCUCCUACUCCUCAAGAGUACCAUAUACUUGGCUGUUGUCACCUUCUGCCUGUUUAGAAGAAUAACUGUCUGUGGAGAUGGGAAGAGAUCCUAACAGUCUUCAUCAACUCUUGUCCCAAACAGUGUCUUCCUGCUUCUAACUCCUUAAGGUCCUCUGCAUAUUUUUUUGACAGUACUACAUUGAGAUUUUCAAACCAGUUGUAGUCCCUUCAACAUCCCAAACCAUCCCAGCCCUAGUGUGCACAACUUGUAGCCUCUAGUCACAGCCCUUGAUGCCAUUUAACCAGAUAACCCCCAGAAAGCUACCACUCUACACACCCUGCAGAGCUUUCUUUGCCUCUUGAAUUCUGUGGCUUGAUUUUCUUAAUAAACACAGAAAUAAAAAUAUUAAAGCCUG